UACCUUUACUCGGUGAUCCGUCUUGCCAGCCCAGCAUGUGUGGAGUUUUAGAAGAUGGCCUGGAUUCUUUAAUGACUAAGUACACUUUACCUCCAAAUGAGAGAGAAAAACAUCCUAGAACAGCCAAGAUGUAAGAGAUCCAUGGAGCAAUUCUUAAGGAGCUUCAGGGGUGAAUGCCAGAUCUUCUCUUGUGCAGAUCAACAGCAGAAUUGCUUCUUCAGAAGCAGCCUGAUCAUGGAAUAAGAAUUCUGUUUAGGGAUACUGAAGCAAGACAUGCACCUGAGAUGAGCCAAGCCAAGCCAAGUCCUGUGGGAGCCUCGUUAUAUGAACCUGUAUGUGUUCUCAGAAUAAUUUGAGAGGGAGGUAAGAUGGAGGAUCCAGGCUAAGAACACAUAUCCCUUGGCCAAGCUGUGUGGAAAGCCGGUCAGCACAUCCAGCCACCAGAAGAGUGUGAAUCAGACAACAGAGAAGAUCACUUCAUAUAUCAAAUGUACUCAGCCAUGGGAAGCUUGAAGAACAAAUUACUACAUGGUUGGUGGGAUGUAGCAUCAUGCAGCUGUUAAGAAAACAGCCCAGCAGUGUCUCAAAUGAUAGACUGUAUGACCAUGCAAUCCCACCCCUAACUCCACAUACACAAGAAAAAUGAAAUCAUGUCCCUACAACUUCUACACAGAUGUUUGUACUAUCGUCAUUCAUGCUAGUCAAAAGACAAGAUACCCUACAUGUCAGUCUACCAACAAAUGAUGAAUAAAAUGUGCUCUAUCCACACGAUAGAACAGCGCCUGGCUGUCAAGAGGGGAGAAGUGCUAACACAUGCUACAAUGUGGCUUGAAAUUUUAUAUUCAAAGAACUUGAAGGGCUGAGUUCAUUGAAAAAACUGAACAUUAACUACCUGAAAAUAUUAUAAUUAUGUUUUUUAAAAGAAGAUGGAAUAAUCCAGAGUUACCAUGACAAUGUAAUGCUAAACAUGUCUUGGACUGGGCCAGCAUGCAUCUAAAAAUGUUUGUCAGCUGAGUAUGUUACAUGGGGACUGUGGCAUCUACCUGCUCAGCCAGCAGAUGGCUCAGCAUGGACGACACUCUAAGCUGAUGGCUAGCCUUGUGGGUCCUACUCACUAUUGUCUCUAGCUGGAGGUCCACUGGACCAGAGUUCCAAAGUCUUCUGCACAGCCCUGACUCCAAGGAACAUGGAAAAGAAAGUCCUUCAGGACCCUGGCGAGUCUCAUUAAACAUCUCUGUGCUCUGGUGGGUCUCAUUAAACAUCAUUAAUCAUCUCUGUUCCCUGGCCUGUCCUGGCCCACCAUGACUCCAGAACAAAGGGGUUCUCUGAACCAGUAGAUCUUUUCACAUCUAGACAAUAAAGAUGCCCCAUUAAAGUCUCUCACUGAGAGACACGGUGACCCAGGUGCAGAUUCAGGAUGAGGUUGUAGUCCAAGUCUUUGAUGCUACCAAAGGCCAAUUGACCCUGGACAUGUCACUGGAGGGCUAGUGACAAGGUCAGAGCACACAAGGACUGCAUGCAGAGACAUGCUAAAGGCCAUACCCCCCCCCCCACUGCAAGAGACAGACUACAGCUAUGUUGCUGAGGGUUCUGCAGCCAGAAGUGCCACAGGAUGUUCACUGGUACCUCAAUGGCUGCGGUGACAAAGGACCUCAUCAGGUCUUUUAAACAACAGAGAUGUGUGCUUGCCCCAACCUGGAGACCAAGGCGUGGGCAUGGCUGGUGAUUUCUGGGGCUCUGAGGAAGAGUCUACUCCAGGCACCUCUCCUCAGCUGUGUGGGAGCCUGCAGAUUUGACUCCAUUUCAGAAAGUUCAAACCUAUUCUUGACACUCAAGGCCAGAUAGCUGGGUGUUUGAUCUGAGGCUUGGUUACUGGAUGCUUUGAGAAUUGAUGAAGAAUCAUACUCAUUGGUUCCUUGUCUCAUGGUCUUGGAUUCUAGGCAUAUGCCCAACCCCCUGGCUGCCACUCAAAUUUCUGAUGGACGAAGCUGUCCUUGUUCCUCCUUGGCUUGCAGACCAUUGCCCUAGCAUCUGUCUUCACCUUCACAUGAUUCUGGGCUUAGGGUUAAGGACAGAAGAAAUGGGUCAUGGAAUUUGUCCCCAAGAUUAAGGAAAGCUGCUGAGACCAAGCAUGCAUCAGGGGAGCUCUGGAAUGGAGGCCUGAGAGACCUUGGCAUGAAGCUGAGAAGUUGAAGGCUGGAUUGCCUUGGAGACUCAAGGAUGUUAGAGAUGCCAGAGUCAUGGGAUACCUGCCAAGAAGAGAUACUAACAGGGAGUAGAAUCAGCCCACGAGAAAGAAGAGUGUUGUAGUCAACAGAACUGAACAGAGUUGGAGAUGUGAAGAGUAUUUUGACAUCAGACAUGGAGAUGCAGAGUUUGGAUUUUGCCCAGCUGGUUUCUGGUCUGGUCCAGAAUUUCCUUGCUUUGCUCUCAUCCCUGAGUUUUGGAAUGGUAACAUAUAUCCUGCGCCAUUAUAUGUUGGAAGUAUGUGAUCUGCUUUUUGAUUUUUAUUUUUACAUGUGAUUACAGUUAAGAGUUUGCAUGAAUCUCAGAAGACACUUUGAACUUUGGAGUUUAAAGCAUUGUUGAGAUUGUGAUGGACUAAGGGGACUUUUGAAGUUGGACUAAAUGCAUUUUGCCUUGAUAUUGUUACAUACUUAUGGGGGCCAGGGAAUGGAAUGUGGUAGUUUGAAUGUGAUUGGCCUCCAUAAUCUCACAGGGAGUGGCACUGUUAGGAUAUGUGACGUUGUAGGAGUGGGUAUGGCCUUGUUGGAGGAAGUGUGUCAGUGUGGGGAUGGUCUUUGAGGUUUCCUAUGCUCAGGACACAUCCCAGUGUCUCAACUGACUUCCAGUUGCCUGCAAGAUGUAGGAUUCUCAACAACUUUGCCAGCACCAUAUCUGCCUGCACACUGCCAUGCUCCCCACCAUGAUGAUAAUGAACUGAACCUCUGAAACUGUAAGCAAGCCACUUCAAUUACAUGUUGUUCUUUAUAAGAAUAGCCAUGGUCAUGGGAUCCCUUUGUAACAACAGAUACCCUAACUAAGAGUCAUCUACUUGGGGGUGACAAUACCUAUAAUGGGCUGGGCUCUCCCACAUCAAUCAUUAAGAAAAUGCCCCACAGGCUACUAGAGUGGGGGCAUUUUUUUCAAUUGAGAUUUCUUCUUCCCAUAUGUUCUAGCUUGUGUCAAGUUGAUAAAAGAACUAGCUAGGACACUUUGUUUAUUUAGACAGGCUCUCACUACGUAAUCCUGGUUCCAAACUCACAAAUCCACCUGCCU